UUGUCGGGGUGAGGAGAUGUGAUGGUGGACGCCGCGCCAUAAUCCAUCCUAUAUCAUCCAUCUGUGCCGCGUUAAACCAGCCGGAGUGAUCUAAUACCCCUACCUAGUGAAGGAAAACCCGUACGACACCCUAAUAAACGUUCCCAAGUCCCUAUAUAGCUUCCAGGAACGUCGAAAUAACCACAGGAACCAUGAGUUACGGACGCGGACCUCCUGACAUCAAGGGCAUGACGUCUCUUAAAGUGGAUAAUUUGACCUAUAGGACGACACCCGAGGAUCUACGUCGUUCCUUUGAGAAAUAUGGCGAGAUAGGCGACGUGUACAUCCCCAGAGACAGAUUCUCCCGUGAGAGUCGUGGAUUUGCCUUCGUCAGGUAUUAUGACCGGCGGGAUGCAGAGGACGCAAUGGAAGCCAUGGACGGUAGACGCCUGGAUGGCCGGGAGCUGCGCGUACAGAUGGCCCGCUAUGGCCGGCCGGAAACGCCCCCACACCGCAGACGGCGAAGACGGGAUAAUUCCAGGUCACGAUCGAGGUCACGUUCAAGGUCAAGGUCGCGGAGGAGAAGUCGGAGGUCGCGUUCGAGGUCGCGGUCUCGUUCGAGGUCACGCAGGCGCCAUUCUAGGUCCAGGUCCGGCAGUCGUUCACGCUCUCGUUCGAGGUCACACUCUGGAAGCAAGAGCCGUUCCCGCACCCCAGACGAGCGCCAAUCAAAAUCGCCCGAGAAACAGGAUAAGGAGAAUGGGAUGGACGAGUCGGCCGCCGUAGAGGAGGAACAGCAGCAGCAGAUGGGCCGAUCUAGGUCCCACUCCAAGUCGCGGUCCAGGUCUCGUUCCAGGUCCAAGUCAAGGUCUCGGUCCAAGUCCCGCAGCAAGUCGAGAUCCAGGUCACGCUCCAGGUCGAUGGAGUAAGGAAGGGAACGCUAUCGAGCUACAGUGGGACAUCAGCAUCUUGGCUCCUUCCUCCCCUCCUCCUCACCUCUCCUCCCCCACCCACCACCCUAACCCUAAAGGCGGCAGCGGCGUGGGUAAACACACCCCCCCCACCCCAUCGCUGGAACUAGAUGGGCCCUCACUUGCCCUGUCCAGAUAUUUGCAGUACUAUUGGCAUACUGGGCAGGGCGUGGCAGUUGUUGCUGUUGUGUUGCUGUGGAGUGUUGCUGUAGUGCGGUGUAAUGGAGCCGAGGCAGAGCCAGUCAGUCAGGCAGGCAUGCAGCCGACGGGGGGGCCGCAGUACUCACUCGCAGGGCACCAUUCUUCUCUCUCACUCACACACCACACAUGCUUACUCCCCCCCCUCGUACUGUCUCACACACACAUCCUCACCUCCCUCAUCAUUAACUCAGCUCCCCAUCCCUCGCCAAUCUCCUCCUCCUCGUUACAACACACACCUUGCCCCUCCUCCCCCCUUACUUCUCUCACACACGACCUCCCUGCCUCCUCCAUCCUGUUAAAAUCCUUAUCGUCUCGGCCUCACACCUCCACAGGGAGUCCAAACAACCUGAGAUUAAAGCGGACUAUCAAGCGGCCCAAUUAGGGAUCACCGUGAGCCCAGACAUCGCUUUUAGUCUACCUUAAACACGAGAACUAUUGUGUCUGGGCUUAGUUAGGUAAUAUUGUCGAGUUAAACACACACACACUUAACUACCGAAACUACUGAAUUGUCUUGUUCUCCUGACUGUUGACUCUCUGGUGCCCUGGGAUGCGACUGUGCAACUGCGUGCGGUCACCUUGCUAUGGUGACUUGCUGCAGCUGUGGCGACCCUUGCAACGCUAAGAAGGGGGGGGUGGGGGGCCGGGUGUUGGGCGGCGGCUUGUAUUGGCUACCUACGUGCAGGUUAUGUUAGCGGAUCAGUCAUAGUGAAGGGGGAGGGGAGUUCAUGGGGCUAAUUAUUUUAUUCAUUUAUUUAUUUUUUUUAAUGUGCAGUAAAAACUCCAUCCUGUGCACCAUCCAAGACUAUAGGCCCCCAUGGCUCGGAGCUCUGUAUUCUAUUGCCCAACCGCGUCGUUUCCCCGCUAACCACCAGUUGCAUUAAUUACUUAGGAACCGUUUAGUUAAUUUUAUCAUUUUUAAUUUUAAUUUUUUCCCUUGGGGUUGUCUCUAUUCCUGGGUCAGCGGGUCAAUGACGCGUUGGCCGAGUAUUUAUACAGAGCUCCGACGUCGAGGCGUUGAUGAUUACUGAGAAGAAGGUGACUCUUUUAUUAACUUUGAUAAUAUAUAGAGCUAUUUGAAGUAAUAUAUAAAGCCUACUGGAUCAUACUAUAUAUUUAUGUGUUGAUAUAUGAUACAGUAUCGUGUGUAUAUAAUGGACCAGAUGUUAUGUGGUCUGUUAUAUAUGAAAAAUAGUACAGUACAUGGCAGACUACACGAGAGAGAGGGUAGUCCGUUAUAUAUUAAAACCUCCUUAUAACGGACACUGAUGAGGUUAGAUCGGUGUUCAUUAUAAGGAGGCUUCGCUGUAUAUAUAUAUAUUGAUUCAGGUAUUGGGUUUCUGAGCUUAAUUAAUUACUUCUUUUACAGGGAGUGCAUCGCAGUGUUAACUUAAUGUUUUUUAUGUAUUGUACAGCAUUCAUUUCCUCUUCUUCAUGCUGAUUGGGUGGUUUAAUCUCGCCCAUUGCGUUCUAUUAUAGUUCGAUUCUGUCAACGUCUGUAGCACCACGUGGGUCUUUUACAGGACUGGAUUAUUUACCAGACUUCGUAUCUCAUUAACCAAGUGUCAGUCUCUAGCCAACGAUGUCUAUAAGUUUUGGGGUCCAUUGUAUUUAGCCGAUUUUUACGCAAUAUAUAAACAAUUUCCUCAUUUGUGUGAUUUUUCAGAGAAUAUUUUAUGGGGGUUGACGGCUGUGGAAUUGUAUAUUGAAGUGUGGGCCAUUAAUAAAACUCUCAAGUGUACAAAUGGCCAGUUAUGGGCGAUGGCUUGUCGUCGGACGUCCUGUGUUUGAUCUGGGGAAUGUCAAGUUAAUCCCAGCGUCUAGUUUGCUGGAGUAGGCGACAAUGGUGGAUUAGUUAUAUACGAAUUAAUUUGAGAACGUAUUUCUUACAGGUUGUGGUUGUGUAGUAGGAAGGAGGAUUACAGGUUAUAAAUGUGAUUGUAGAACGAUUUAUAGCAAGUCAAAUUAUGGUUAUUAUUAUUAUUAUUAUUUAAACAACUCCCGUCAGAAGUCACUCGGGAUAUGAUGAGAAUUGAGAUAGAAUUUACAAAAAAAAAACAGCCUUUUGAUGAGAAUUUUCCAGUGCUAUUUUUGUCCAUUGAGUCUCUUGGUAUACUGUAUACAUAAUGACACAUGGCUGUAUUCUAUGUAUCGUGUCAUUAUACAUAGAUUCCAUUCAUAGUUAUGUGAAUUUUUUUUUUUUUAUCAAGACGAAGAAUUUAUUCAAGAGGAAAUUUGUCCGUUUGGUAAGUAUGUCGUUACUUUUGACUCAAUAAAUAAAUGAAAAUA